rnacentral:lncRNA from 1 species
AGUUCGCAUUGUUUCUAUAAAAUAUUUGUCCUUCUCCCUUUGAUUCAUUAUUAUGACUUACUUCUUGUUUGGUUAAAUUUAAUUCUUAAGCAAUUCUCUUCAUAAUGCUGCUAUACCUUCUGCAUCUUUAAAUGACUGAUGUAGUUUUUCUUUUCCCUCAGAGAUGAAGAAUAGUUUGAAUUUGCCAGAAUUUCCUAAAUCAUGCCUCACUGAGUACCACUGUUCAAUAUGAUGUUAGACAUUUCAAAGGGGAGGAAACUAUUACUAUCAAAUAAAUUUGGGGAAGUGGGUUAAAAAAUUGACUAGUUUGUUGAUGUCUUUUUUAUUUGAUUUUAUUGCAGAGUUUCUCAGAGCUCUUAAUAAAAUGUACCUUAUAUUUCUCUAAGAAAUGAAUAUAAUCUAUAUUUAUAAAAUUUGAUUAUCCAUAGACACUCUUUUAUAAGAAACACAUGGAAAAGAUCUCAUGGAAAAAUAAUUGGAAUAGUUUGGAAAAUACUGAGGUAUGGAAUUCUAGACACUUUCUUCAUGGAGGCUCAUGGAGGAUUUCCUAUCAAAAUGUUUAUAAAAGAAGGCUGGCAGUUCAAACAGCCUAUCUUUUAAGGAGAAGAUAUUUAAUUUUUUUAAUCGGGAGGACACUGUUAACAACAAGAAGCAUGUACACAUCAGCUGUUGGAAUUUUCCAGCUACACUAUUGUAUUGUUGGAAAGAACUGAAGAAGCUGGUUCCUGCCUCUUGGUCACCUAUUAGAGGGAGCGAGGAUUAGUUUAAAGUGAGUGUGGAGCUGCCCUACAAGGAAGAAAAAGGCUUUCUUUCACUUUGAACGGUAAAAAAAAGCACAAUUACUUUAUAGGAUCUGGAAUACAAACACUAUGUAAAUCCUCAUUUUAGCUCACCUUACAUAUUAGGUCUUUAGUGACGAUCAUGGUUGUAUCUAGUCUCCGAGGUGCAGGACAAUGCGGACAGUCAAUAUGAGCGCUGUAUUUGCUCUGUUCUUUAAUUAGCAGAACACCUGUGGAAACGUGUGGUCUAAGUGAAAUGUUACAUGAAAAUCAUUUUGGUGAGGAGCAGCAAAGUCAUUUUGCAUGUUAAUAAGGGGAAGUGGUAUUAAGAUUUGAAAGAUUUAACCAUGUUGCAUUUUAUUUCAGUGAUUACAUUCUUAACCAUUUUUAGCUAAACCUGCCAGCUUAAUAUCUGUAAUUAUGGCACGUAUUAAAACCAGCCAAGCUGUUAAGUACAUGCUCAGAUGUGUAGCUACUGCGCUGAUAUAUCACUCAAUCAUUUUCCAUUACACCAUGCAACAUUAGUCACCAUUAUUGCAGUGUGCAGCCUUGAUAAACACAAUGCUAAAGGAGAAAAUGUCGGGAAUAUUGCCUGAGUUUUUUUUUUAUCUCUACAUCCACAUUAUGUUUCUCAUAUGGUUCUCCUUGCUCCAAUUCAUCUGGUUUCAUUUGUUAAAUUUGCACAAAUUCUUAACAUCAAAGUAUCCCCAAAUGUGUACGUUGUAAUUAGCUUGUAAUUCUGAGCAGAGGUUCUAGUGACAUUUAAGAACAAACUGAGAGGCCUAUGGGACGCUCCCAACUCUGGGGAGUUUAGACAGAGAAGAGCAGAACUAAUUGAUGCAAGUCUGGGAGCUGAUUAUUUUAUGCACAGCUACGUACAAAACAGAAACUUCCUUAGUUGGUGUCCCCUUCUAUUUCUCAGUUCAGUCCUUAC